GAUUAUAGGUGUACUUGACGAUAAUAAAGUGGUGGAAGAAUAUGUAGAUACGCAGAUACAAAUAGGAAACGUGGAAGUAGUACAGGAAUUAGAUCUAACGAUUGUAUUGAUGGACGUGGGUGAAGUUGCUGAAAUUGUAGUCACGCCUACAUUUGCGUAUGGCACACGUGGAGAACAGCAUCUAUAUCAUCUAACGCCACUCGUACAUACACGGUUGACGUGAAGGAAAUAAAAGAGGAGCCUGAGAUAGAAACUUUAAGCAUUACGCAAAGGAGAGAAAUAAGCAACAAGAAACGCGAACGUGGAAACUGGUUUUUUAUGCGAAGAGACGUCAAUCACUCAAUACAAUGUUAUCGGAGAGCGUUACAAUAUCUACUCAUAGACAAUGGUACAAUAGCCCAGUAAAAUGACAAAAUCUUGAGGAAAUAAUACUGACUGGACUGAAACUUUGUAAACAGACUUG